rnacentral:rRNA from 1 species
ACUACGGGAGGCAGCAGUGGGGAAUAUUGGACAAUGGGCGAAACCUGAUCCAGCCAUGCCGCGUGUGUGAAGAGGUCUUCGGAUUGUAAGCACUUUAAGUUGGGAGGCGUUACCGACAGAAUAAGCACCGGCUAACUCUGUGCCAGCAGCCGCGGUAAUACAGAGGGUGCAAGCGUUAAUCGGAAUUACUGGGCGUAAAGCGCGCGUAGGUGGUUUGUUAAGUUGAAUGUGAAAUCCCCGGGCUCAACCUGGGAACUGCAUCCAAAACUGGCAAGCUAGAGUAUGGUAGAGGGUGGUGGAAUUUCCUGUGUAGCGGUGAAAUGCGUAGAUAUAGGAAGGAACACCAGUGGCGAAGGCGACCACCUGGACUGAACUGACACUGAGGUGCGAAAGCGUGGGGAGCAAACAGGAUUAGAUACCCUUGUAGUC